AGUAGUAGGAGUAGUAUAUUUUUGUGGAUAAAACAGAUAUGACUUGGUAGUCCUUCGUACAUAGUAGUGGGGAGAAAUGGAGAUUUCUGCAAUUAAACCACCGACAGUACUCCAUUGUUAAAUCUCAAUCAAAGUACACUCCGUACAAACAAGGUUCCCCCUCUUUUAUCAAAGAAACCCUAUUCAAACAUUUUUCUAUUCCUUUGUCCCCACAAUCCUUGGAGCAAGCAUCAUGGGGUCAUAUAUUAUGUUAUUGUCCCAUUUUGAAACCCCAGGUACAAAAUUCUGGCCAAUCACUUAUUCAACAUAGUAGUUUUUUUCUUCCUAUGUACUAGUAUUUUGACUGCUGUUUCAAAUUCUUGCCAACCACUUAUUCAACAUAGUUUUUUACUUCCUAUGUACUAGUAUUUUGACUGUAGUAGCCAGGAUUUUCAGUGAGGGUUCAACAAUACAUAUACGGACUAGUCGAAGGGGUUCAACCUCUACUGUUUAUACAUCAAUUUUUUUUCAUCAUGUAAAAAUAGUAUAAUUUUCCGACGAAGGGGGUCGGAUGAACCCCUGGACCCUAUGUAGAUCCGCCACUGGUUGUAGCUGUAGUAUACUCUGCCAUUUCUUUUAUGUGAAUGUAAUUUUAUAGGAAACUGAACAUUUUCUAAUCUAGGGCUACUGAAGUUGGCAAAAGAAUAAGAUAGAAUUACAUGGUCUGUUUUCCUUGUGAUUUCCCCCUUAUAGUCGCAAAUAACAUAAAAUCAAAUUACAUGCUACUGAAGCUCUCGCGAUGUGUGGGGUUCAGGGAAGUGCAAGGAUCUAUUGUACUCGACUAUACCUUGCAUUCCACGACUUGAACCCGUGAUCUUUUGUUAAAUGCUCUUUUCAAGUCUUCUGAGAUCGAUUAUCAGUUCUACCGUCUGACCUAUAUAUGGACACAUCGAUUAUCAAUCCGACCAAUGAGAAAAUAGAAGUAGGCCAUUUUGCUAAUUGGAAACUUGAAGAGGCUUAAUAGACUAAUUUUCUCAUUAGGUCAUUUUGCUAAUUGGAAACUUGAAGAGGCUUAAUAGCCAAAGUUUCUCCUUGAACCCCUUGACAUGAACUCCAAAGCUACUAACGUUCCUCUUUUUAUACCAAUUUUGCUCAUAAAAAAAGGUAAUACUGGAACUAUUCGCAGUUUGCAUGUACUGAUUUGAAAUUAUAUAUAUGGAUUAUGAAGCCUUUCUCUAUGUGGUGUAGCCAAAAAUUUAAGGGUGGAGGGUGAGUGUUGGCUACGGGUUCGGCCGAUCCUAGUAGCUUUAGUUCAAAGUUGGUAUUUUUCUUAAAAAAUCAUUGAUAUGUAUAGAUUAUUAAUUUAAAAAUCAUAAGAGUGUGACAUAGUGGUCAAUGAGCUGGGUUGAGAUCAUGAUAUCUCAGGUUCAAAUCCCAACAGAGACAAACACAUUUUUCUUCAUCUAUCAUACUUGAUAGACAGAGUUAUGUGAUGGCCGUUGCUUGUGUGGGUUAGCAGGUAUCCCGUAGAAUUAGUCAAGGUGCGCAUCAGCUGUCCUGGAUACCACGGUUAUCACAAAAAAAGUAUUUCACUCAUUUUUAUUAUAUUAGUGAUAGUGGUGGAAAAUGUAAAAAGUAAUGCUUGAAAACUUAGUUUAACAAAGAAAAUGAGCACAUCGAAUUUUAAAUUUUGAUUUGUUGAUUUGUAUACUGCCUUGUAUCUUGAGCCGGGAGUCUAUCGGAAACAGCAUCUCUACCUCUUUAGGGGUAGUGGUAUGGACUGUGUAUACUCUACCCUCCUCAGACCCCACUUUGUGGGAAUAUACUGGGUUGUUGUUGAUUUGUUGAAAGUUGUAACUAAAUGAAAUAGUGUCAAACACUUUAAGACUUCAAAAAUGAAACCAUGUCUUAUAAUUUGUGAUGAAAGUAGUAAAAAGAAAGGUGUUUCUAUGGCUUUGUUGGUACUUCUUAAAGUUUCCAUUUGCAAGAGGGUAAUAAAUAUAACAUAUAUGUAUAAGUUUAGUGUCCGGCUAUCAAAAAAUGUAUUAAGUUGAAUGCCCAGUUACACUGUGCACGUGGGAAUAACAUUGAGAUUUAGUGGAUAGAAAGAAAACUCCCUUACUGGAUUCAGUGUGUGCAAGGUUGAAAUGGCACCCAUCACUUUCACCGUCCUCCUUUUCCAUUCCUCCUCUGGCUCCUCAUUCGAUUGUGCGAAAAGGGAUAUAUGAGAAAGAAGUGGCUUUCUAUAAAUUGUUGGUCAAGAAGUUUUACUCUGUGCGAAUUCUAGUCUACCUUGUCUUGUUUUAGCAACUUCUAUCAUCAUAGUAUACACCCAACAAGAAGUAUAUGUCUGAUGUGACACAAUCAUCUUAGGCCAUUUUCUCUUUAUCUUUAACCAUCCACGUGUGCUACAAAUACCUUUGGGCAGAUAUGAUGAUUUUCUUAUUAUUGUUCAACUUCUUAGGUUUACACUUCCAUCUUAACAUUUGCAUUUUAUUUGAUUUGUAUUGUGAAUAUGUUGGGCCUUAGAGGUCUGACAUUUAUUUUUAGAUGGCAUCGCUGAUAUCAUAACCAUUUUAUAGAACUCAUUUUUUCACUUGAUAGACCAUGCAAAGACACACUAGCUUCUACUAGAGGUAUCAUGCAACAACGCUUAGUCGAAAAAAAUCACAAAUAACUAAAUAAGUAUAUAUGCAAAUAGCUUUUUUUUUAAAAAUAAUGUCUCUUUGUGUACCUGUGUGUAUGUUAUAAGCUGGCACCGCUUGAAAAAUAAAAUAAAAACAUCAAUUUGAGACAAUUAGUAAUAGAACAGUCCACCCAAACCCACUUACAAGCUGAGUUGUGAUAGUACGCUGACUCCACUUGUCCAAAAUCGUGUGCAUUGGUAUUUUAUCUCAUAGUAUCCUCGUAGCACCUCCAUCUCAUGAGUCAUCCUCCUUAAAAAAAAAAAUCUAAAGUAAAAAAUAAAAUAAAGAAGGAUGAUGACAACACUAUGCCAUAGGAUACCUAUAAUUCAAUCUGUUACAUUUUCAUAUAUCACUGCAAACUUCCUUAAUGAUUUAUUAAUAUAUCUUCCGAAAUCCAAUGGAACUUUCUUUCCAUUUCUAGGAUUUCUUUGGUUGCUGACUGCCUUUCGCUGCUUUUAAUUUUCAUACAUAAAGUUAAGGAAGCAACUACUGUGAUAUCUCAUUUUUAAGCUAAAGUCUCCUGCGGAAAAUCAAUGCUUCACAAGCAUUAGCAUAUCUUUGUUGUUUUUGACUUUGAGGAACUCUUGUCAACUUUUGGGUUGCAAGAGUUUUCUGGGUCCUAGUAUAUUAUAUCCAUGGUAUAUCUGUUGUCAGCCUAGGAAAGUUUACAUUGUAGACCCUAGAGCCAUUUGUUAAUUGGACUAAUAAUUGCUGUUAUCAUUAGUCUUAUUUUUGAGAGAAGAUUUGGAAAGUUUACCAACAGUUUCUGUCUUUUUAACUUUUACCGAAACUCGUUAUGUGGAUAAAUUUGAGUCGCAACGAAGUAAAAUUAGAAAUGAAAGAAAAGCUUAAAUUAAAAAGCUAAAAAGAGGGCAGGCUAUUUAACUUAUUGCAAUGUGAAGAUUGAACUAGAAACAAGAAAAAAAAAGCAUCUACUUGAAUGUUCUUGCGUCUUUAUGGUCCACCUUUAGUGGUUGAAAUUUUCAUUUGUUGGAUAUUGGAAUGCACUUUAUAAUCCAACCGAUAGGCCAUGACAAUGACGAAAUCCCUAUGCAUGCAGCCCAUUGCAUCCAGUUCAGCCUUUCAGUAUUAGCAAAUCUCCUCAGGAAUUCAACCAUAAUUACCUGGAGAAGUAGUGUCACUCCCACUAUCCCAAUAAACAGUCUGUUCUUCAAUAUCCCACGGAAUAUGUUUUUCUUCUCCAAAUUCCUUGCAUUGAACUCGUUGAAGAUUUGACAGAGGACGAAAGUAUUGAAGAUCAAGGUGUCUUUUACCUUCUUAUUCACAUGAAAGAUGGCACUUCCUUUGAACUGCAG
rnacentral:lncRNA from 1 species